AUACUUACCUGGCAGGGGAGACACUAUGAUCACAAAGGUGGUUUUCCCAGGGUUAGGCUCAUAUUCCAGGUGUGCUGACCCCUGCAAUUUCCCCAAAUGCAGGAAAUUCAACUCUGUAAUCGGUGGUUGGGGGGACUGUGUUUGCAAUUUCCCACG
rnacentral:snRNA from 1 species